GUCUGUGCUCCAAAACGGCGAUGACGGA
rnacentral:sRNA from 1 species